UCCUCGGUAGCUCAUUGGUAAGCUCUGGACUAGCGAUUCAGAGGUUGCGGGUUCGAUUCCCGCUCGAGGAG